UUACGGCCACAUCACAUCGAAACACCUGUUCCCGUAUGGUCACCGAAGUUAAGCAGCGUCGAGCCUGGUCAGUACCUAGAUGGGUAACUGCUUGGAAUACCAGGCGU